rnacentral:rRNA from 1 species
UACGAAGGGGGCUAGCGUUGCUCGGAAUCACUGGGCGUAAAGGGUGCGUAGGCGGGUUUUUAAGUCAGAGGUGAAAUCCUGGAGCUCAACUCCAGAACUGCCUUUGAUACUGGGAAGCUUGAGUAUGGAAGAGGUGAGUGGAACUGCGAGUGUAGAGGUGAAAUUCGUAGAUAUUCGCAAGAACACCAGUGGCGAAGGCGGCUCACUGGUCCAUAACUGACGCUGAGGCACGAAAGCGUGGGGAGCAAACAGG